rnacentral:rRNA from 1 species
CACGUAGGGUGCGAGCGUUGUCCGGAAUUAUUGGGCGUAAAGAGCUCGUAGGCGGCCUGUUGCGUCCGCUGUGAAAGCCCGGGGCUUAACCCCGGGUCUGCAGUGGAUACGGGCAGGCUAGAGGUAGGUAGGGGAGAAUGGAAUUCCCGGUGUAGCGGUGAAAUGCGCAGAUAUCGGGAGGAACACCGGUGGCGAAGGCGGUUCUCUGGGCCUUACCUGACGCUGAGGAGCGAAAGCGUGGGGAGCGAACAGG